CCAAGGAAUAUCUACAGAGAAGAUCUACCAAGAAGUUUUUCCCCAAACCUCUUGGGGCACAUUCUUUCUCAGACCAUCUCAUUCCCUAAGGAGAAUGAGCUCGACCUUAAAGCAGUUGCUACAAAGAAUUGAUUCUCACCUCCCUCUCUCUUCCUCUCUCAACUCCAAGUUUGUUGAGCCCCUGGAUGAGUUGCAAAGACUGCCUGCACUAAGGCUUUGUGAGCUGGUUUCCUGUGAUGUCUCUUCAGUACAAUGCAAGGUUCUGUAGUUUGCUAUUCGUAAUCUAACUCUGGCAAAUGUCUUGGGGAAAAUGGGAAGCAAAAGGAAAAUGCGUCUGAGUCAGGCUGAAUGAAUUCUGCAACUCCUGCUGAAGUCAGCCAGAUCUGUGGACAACAGGAUUCACCGCUUUGUCCACAUUUACUGGGAAAUAUAACAAAAGAAGAGGAAAAACCAGUGAAGAUCAGUUUAACCUAUCCAUCAAGGAAGAGAAGAGCCAAGUGGAUGAAGGUUUUGAAUAGGGAUGGUAGAAAUUAGACAAAGGUUUUAACCGUAGACCUUCCACUAAUUGUGCAUUAGUAGAAUUUAUACCUUAGCUUCUUACAUCUAAAUAAUAAAAGCCAAUAUUUAUAUAGUAACUUUACUUUUCAGAAAAUGUUUUGAAUAUAUUAUCUCAAUCACACACACACACACACACACACACACACACACACACACACACACACACACACCAUGAAGUGGUUGCUAUUAUUGCCAACCUCAUUUUAUAAAUGGAAAGUCUGAGGUUCAGAGAAAUAAAAGUGGGUUAUUUGAAAUUCCAGUUAAUGAAUUGAAGAUGGAGGCUAUAAGCCUGAGUCCUUUGGACUCCAAGCCCAAUAUUCUGCUUGCUAUAUAACAUAUCACAUCUCAAAAGCAGUGGGUUUUCCAUGACAUGCAAUACCAAAGUAGUCCUGAUAGUGAAAGAUUCUGUCUCUAUUGAGGACAUUACAAGAUAGUUUAUGGGAAGAUUUGGUGCCUCUAUCUUAACCUCAAUAGGUCAAAGUUGUCCCUUAAAUGCUUCUAGCUUUCUUAAUAAUUUUUGGUGGAACUAUGCUCUAGUAGUACAUCUAAGCCUCCUCAAAUUUCUUUAAAUUCAGCCCAUACAGACUUUAGGGUUAUAAAUUCCAUAUUGGCGUUCUCUAUCUCCUUCCUGCCUCAUCCCAACCCCAUCCAGCUAUCUAAAUAAACAUAGUUCAUAAGUGGUUAAAUAAUUAGAACAAAGAAAUAGCCCAGAAUUUUUAUGCAUAGGACAAGGAGGAAAACUUCUCUUGGAUGCAUUUUCCUGUGGGAAGGAAGUCAGUUCCUCUAAAUUUCACUAACCUAGGUCAAACCCCCGAUAGUCCUGUCCUAGUUAUAACUCUGCUUAUGAAAGCAUUUGUUUAAAAAAAUCUGGCUCCUGAAUCUGAACAAGCUAGUCUCUCUACAGGAGACGAUAAGGAACAUAACCAGAACAAACCAAUGCACCAUUAAGAGAAAACCACCAUGAGACACACAUCAUUACACAGCAGCCUGUCUUACUUUCCUGGGGUCUUCUAAAGUUUUAGAUGCACUUAAUUUGUUCUCCAAAUCCCCAAGCUCUACUUUUCUUUAUCUUUUUUUCCCAGAUUCUUCAUCGUUCCUCUCAACCCUUCAAACCUGGCUCUGACCCCUGUUUCUUUAUUCAAUACUCUCUUUUUGAUAGGGUGGAGGGAAGGGAAAAUGGAGAAAGGCAUAUCCAAGUUACAACUAUGUCCUGGUAACCAGUGUUUAGCAUAAUGCCUAAGACAUAGUAAAUGCUUAAUAAAUGUUUAUUGAUUAA